ACGUGAUCACUGAUCACACAAAUGUCAAACAAUUUUAAUGGUUAUAAUAAAUUGUGAAAUUAUGUUUAUAGCUUUGUACAUUAAUAAUAUCUAUUCUAUAUUCUAAAGCUUAUAGUUUUGUGAAUUAAUUUCAAUAGAUUUGUAGGUGAAUUCAUUUUUUGAUUCACUCUCAAAUUAAACUUAGGUGGAAGAAGAAGUAUUAUAUCUAUUAAAUAUUCAGAAAUAUUACCUAUUAAGGAAGAGGAAUCCAUCUACAUGUAUAUCUGCUGACACAAUGUAAUAGUACAAUAAUUGUACUAUCAGCAAUAUGUAUUUCCAUAAUAUUUUCCAUGCAUCAUAUUGCACACCUUCUUAAUUCAAAGAUUUCCAUAGAGCUCUCAUAAAAGCUAGGGGGUUCAUAAUCAUUAUGAAUGUACUCAAGAAAUAAUUAGGGAGACUAGAAAUAUAUUAAUAGUGAACAAAUGUUUUUGCUAGUUCUAAAAUGCCAACGUUAUCAACUCAAGAAAAAAUAAAAAUUUUGAAGUGGUAUUUUGGUGGUAAUUCGAUGGGAGAUAUUACAAAUUUGUUUAUUAAUGAAUUUGAAGGGAAGCCAAUUCCGGCAAAAUCUACCAUUUCUAAAAUUGUUAAAAAGUUUGAGAAAUAUGGAUGUGUUCAGUAUUGCAGGCAUUGUCUUAAUUUCGAUGAACCACGUAUAAAGACAAUUAAUAAAGAGCGUGAACAAAGGGAAUCAAAUGUUUGUGCUGCUGUCGAUGCCAAUGAAAAUAUUACAAGUAAACAAAUUGGAAAACAAUUGAAUUUAAAUGACAGAACUGUACGGAAUAUACUGAAGAGGAAAGGCUACCAUUGUUAUAAACUAAAAAAUUAUCAGGUUCUGUGGAAAAAGUGAUUAAUCAUAGUGUAUAUUUUUGUAUUAAAUAUUUUGCAUUUGCAUUUUUCUUUAUAUGUAUGGAGUGAGUACCACAGAACAAUAAAUAUAUGUGAGUACUGCCAGCAUAGGCUACUGACGUCACAGAACAACAAGCAAAUAUUGUUUUGAUAGGUUAUUUGUAAACGUAAGGAAAACAGUGAUUUUAUUCUUUAAUAAUAUGUUGAUUUCUGUUAUCUGAUUGAAAAUCUUGUUUUUCUAGUAAUAUAAUAAUUUCACUUGUUUAGGUUUAGAUUUUAAUUUUUAUAUAGUAAUAUGUACAAAUAUUUUGAAUUAUAAAAAUAAAUACCUACAACCAUAACUUAU